rnacentral:rRNA from 1 species
AGGGCUUGACAUACACUGGAAUGGGCGUGAAAGCGUCCACGCCCCUCGGGGCCGGUGUACAGGUGCUGCAUGGCUGUCGUCAGCUCGUGCUGUGAAGUGUUGGGUUAAGUCCCGCAACGAGCGCAACCCCUGCUAUCUGUUGCCAGCAAGUAAUGGUUGGGGACUCAGAUGGAACUGCCGGUGACAAACCGGAGGAAGGUGGGGACGACGGUCAAGUCAUCAUGGCCCUUAUGUCCUGGGCUACACACGUGCUACAAUGGCCGGUACAGAGCGCAGCGAAGGCCGCGAGGCAAAGCGAACUCGACAAAAAGCCCGGUCUCAGUACGGAUUGGAGUCUGAAACUCGACUCCAUGAAGUUGGAAUCGCUAGUAAUCGCGCAUCAGCAUGGCGCGGUGAAUACGUUCCCGGGCCUU